UUCAAUGAGAAGUAGCUGGCAGACAGUAUUCUGGUGUAUUACGUCUUGCACAAGCAUUUCGCUAUACUCGCAAUAACAUCUGCUAAUCACGUGUAUGUGACCAAUAAAAUUUGAUAUGACACCAAGUGACGGGCAAAAGCUUUCAAGCAUUCUAUUUCUCUGCUCAUGCAUCCAAGUCGUGUUGGGUCCCUUCUAUAGGUCUCUCUACUUCAUCCCUCCCACCACUCCUCUCCCAUCUCAACCACACUAUAGCCUACCCAUCUAUCUGUCUCUUGCUUAUGUCUAGCGAAUGAUUCAGAAAAAGAUCAUGGGCGUAACUAAAAAGGGAAAAGGACCGUUCACGCUGAGUUGGAACAAUAGACAGCAACUCACAAUGGACAAUGCAUAGAGGAGCAGAACUGUUUGGGUUUCUGGACACGUCCACACCAGGCGGGCCUGUGAGGGGGACCAAUGACAGAUAUGUGCAGCUUCCCUCCGAAGCGGUGAGAAAAUGUGGUGCGGGACUGACUGGCAGACUGUUUACUUGCACAUAUCAGAGAGUCGUCUCUGCUAGUUGGCUUGUCUCAGGCCACUCAAGCAAAAGUAAAGCCAGUGUUUGGCAUAAACUGCUCCGGGGUGGAUUGACUCAUUGUACAGCUAAAGUGCAUCCAGAUAGCUCCGGGUUUUUUUCUCUAUGGGAUUGGUUCAAUAUCGUAUAGCUGCAGCAAACUCUACACUGCUGCUGCAGAGCUCGAGUUUUUCUAUAACUGAAAUUCAGUUUGGACAUCAGUAAGGCCUAUUUUAAUGGAUUAUCCCAAGUUCACGGUAUGCAACAGGUGCUGAAAUCAGAGAGAGACUUUCAUCCAUAAGCAAUUGCCUUAAGCACGUCCAAUGAAAGCUCCCCCCUGUACCCCACCGCCUCUGCCUCUGCCUCUGCCUCUGCCCCUGCCUCUGCCUCUGUCUCAGCCCUCUCCUUCGGAGAGACAAACACACUGUUCUCUGUUUCUUUGCCUUUCACCUCUCAAGCCUCCCUCCCUCCAUCCAUCCUGCCGGCCCGGCACAAUGCAUCCACUUUAUCCUGUGGCCUGGAGAAUACAGCCCUGAACUAACAAUAUCACCAAGGCUGUCUGAAUGCCGGGGAGCCCCAUUGUGUCCUGGCAGAGGGGAGUUAACACCCAUGUCUGAGCCCAAUGAAUAGUAUUAUUGUGUCUGAGACAUGCACCUCUCCCCCGGUCACCCCCGAUCUCCCCCUCUUCGUACCCCUUACACACACCCUCUUCUUGUCCCAACAGCUCAGUCCCCCCUCUGUCCCCCUAUCUCUCCCCUCAGUGGACAACUCCCAAUUUCCAAGUACUCACAGACACUCCAAAGGUGUAUUUCUUUAUUUUCUCCAUGUGGAAAUAACCCUGUGGAUUUUUCAGAUUUUUUGUUACAGUGGAGGAGAGAGGAAGAGAGAGGAGG